CAGUAGCCGCGGUAAUACAGAGGAUGCAGGCGUUAUCCGGAAUGAUUGGGCGCAAAGCGUCUGUAGGUGGCUUUUCAAGUCCGCUGUCAAAUCCCAGGGCUCAACCCUGGACAGGCGGUGGAAACUACCAAGCUAGAGUACGGUAGGGGCAGAGGGAAUUUCCAGUGGAGCGGUGAAAUGCGUUGAGAUCGGGAAGAACACCAACGGCGAAAGCACUCUGCUGGGCCGACACUGACACUGAGAGACGAAAGCUAGGGGAGCAAAUGGGAUUAGAUACCCCAGUAGUCCCUGUCUCUUAUAC
rnacentral:rRNA from 1 species